rnacentral:lncRNA from 1 species
CAAAGGGUUUGACAGCAUGAUGUGGGUUCACUGCAUCAUUCAUUACAGGUCCCUUUUCCUUUGAGGAAGUCCACAACAGUACAUUUUGAACAGUUUGUCACAUGUGAAUGUUAUGCAGUGCUUUUAAGAUACAGCAUCAUUCCUUCCUUGCAAGUGGGGCAAGUGCUCCAUACUUAACAUUCAUGCAGGGUGGAGUUUGUCUGUACAUCACAGAUCUUGUCCAGCAUUUAUGCAAUUGACAUUUGGCAAUGACUCUGUCCUCAAUUACUCUUUCCCACAGGAAUGGCUACCUAGAUCUCCAGACCCUACAUUUUGUGACUUGGUUAUGAGGCUUCUUGAAGUUAGAGAUCAGUCAAUGUCAUUCGCCAUAUUGAAAGAAGCUAUUUGCCAUUGUGUGACAAGAAUUACAGCUGAACAUUUUCAAUGCUAUACCCACAUGAC